UGAAAAGGUUUUUUAAAAUGCUCAGCCAAAUGAGAGCAGGCAAACUGUUUUUCUUCUAAUUACAGCCACGUGCAUCUUUUUCUUAGUUAAUUUUCUCAGCUCUGAUGAUUGUCUUCAGUGGGUUCUUGACUCAAUCUAAGUGAGUUCAUCUACUGGGGGAAAUACCAUGAUCAUGAAGGUGGCUUUCCCAGGGUGAGGCUCAUCCAUUGCACGCUGGAUGUGUUGACGUCUGCAGGAAACCUGACUGCAUAAUUUGUGGUAGUGGGGGUACUUCACUUUCAUUCCUUUGUAUCACUGUUGGUCAAAUGAUAGAAGUCAUACUUGGGAUGUGUGGCUAUUGUUUUGCUUUGUGACUUACAGUUCUCUAAAGUAGAUAUGACAUUAUGGGGUAUGUUGUAUGCCUUUGCAGCCAUUUCUCAGGAUGUAUACCCUUAAAUAUCUCCAGAAACAGCAAGUUAUACUAUAGCGUAAUCUAUGCUAGUGACAGCCUUCCUUUGUACUUUCUCUCCCACUUUACUUUUUGGUUUUUUUUCCAAAAUAAUUUGAUAUUUUUAUUGAAGUAACGUGAGUGUUUUUGAAAAUAUCAUACAAAAGGGUUAAAUCUGAAAGAUGACUCUUCCCCUGACCCCUCCUUCCUCACCUUCCCCAUUUGUAGCUGUUUCUUCAUUUACCUCCAUAUUUUUGUGCUGGUAUUUAUCAUAAGAAUUUCACUGACAUUUCCCACCCCAGUACCUUCCCUCCUCCAUCCUUUCAUUAUAUAGAGUGCUAUAAACUCCAUGUCUGAUUCACUUGGUCAGCAGUAUGAAUCAACUGAGAUAAAAAAGAACACUAUAGUUAGAGAAAACUACUUUCAAAUAGUUCUACACGUUUUUAGAUGACUCCCAAUAUGAUCAUCUAAGGAAUGGAACCCAUAAUCAGAAGACCUAGUUUCAAGUGCUGACUUGCAUGGACAAUUUCACCUGAUACCUGUGUUCCAGAGGCUUAGGCCAGGACCUAAUAAAUGGACAGAUAAUAAAUAUUUUAGGCUCUGCAGGUCAUAGCAAAUACACAACUCUGCCAUUAUAACCCAAGGAAGCCAUAGGCAAUACAUAAAUGAGUGGGCAUGGCUACACUGCAAAUAAAACUUUAUUUGCAAACACAGACUGCAGCUGGUUUGGGCCCCAAG
rnacentral:lncRNA from 10 species